rnacentral:rRNA from 1 species
AUUGAACGCUGGCGACAUGCUUUACACAUGCAAGUCGAACGGUAACAGGUUAAGCUGACGAGUGGCGAACGGGUGAGUAAUGCAUCGGAACGUGCCCAAUCGUGGGGGAUAACGCAGCGAAAGCUGCGCUAAUACCGCAUACGAUCUGAGGAUGAAAGCGGGGGACCGUAAGGCCUCGCGCGAUCGGAGCGGCCGAUGUCAGAUUAGGUAGUUGGUGGGGUAAAGGCUCACCAAGCCGACGAUCUGUAGCUGGUCUGAGAGGACGACCAGCCACACUGGGACUGAGACACGGCCCAGACUCCUACGGGAGGCAGCAGUGGGGAAUUUUGGACAAUGGGCGAAAGCCUGAUCCAGCAAUGCCGCGUGCAGGAAGAAGGCCUUCGGGUUGUAAACUGCUUUUGUACGGAGCGAAAAGGCUCUCUCUAAUACAGGGGGCUCAUGACGGUACCGUAAGAAUAAGCACCGGCUAACUACGUGCCAGCCGCCGCCGUAA